rnacentral:rRNA from 1 species
GACGUAGGGCGCGAGCGUUGUCCGGAUUUAUUGGGCGUAAAGCGUGCGCAGGCGGUUUUGUAAGCCAGAUGUGAAAUCCCCCGGGCUUAACCUGGGAAUGGCAUUUGGGACUGCAAGGCUGGAGUGCGGCAGAGGAGACUGGAAUUCCUGGUGUAGCAGUGAAAUGCGUAGAUAUCAGGAGGAAUACCGAUGGCGAAGGCAGGUCUCUGGGCUGACACUGACGCUCAUGCACGAAAGCGUGGGGAGCAAACAGG